AUACGGGGGGUGCAAGCGUUAUUCGGAUUUAUUGGGCGUAAAGAGCGCGUAGGCGGCUUGGUAAGUCAGAUGUGAAAGCCCGGGGCUCAACCCCGGAAGUGCAUUUGAAACUAUCAGGCUUGAGUAUGGGAGAGGGAAGUGGAAUUCCUGGUGUAGAGGUGAAAUUCGUAGAUAUCAGGAGGAACACCGGUGGCGAAGGCGACUUCCUGGACCAAUACUGACGCUGAGGCGCGAAGGCGUGGGGAGCAAACAGGAUUAGAAACCCUGGUAGUCC
rnacentral:rRNA from 1 species